rnacentral:rRNA from 1 species
ACGCACGCUGGCGGCAGGCCUAACACAUGCAAGUCGAGCGGACAUCUUCGGAUGUUAGCGGCGGACGGGUGAGUAACGCGUGGGAACGUGCCCUUUGCUUCGGAAUAGCCUCGGGAAACUGGGAGUAAUACCGGAUGUACCCUUUGGGGGAAAGAUUUAUCGGCAAAGGAUCGGCCCGCGUUGGAUUAGGUAGUUGGUGGGGUAAUGGCCUACCAAGCCGACGAUCCAUAGCUGGUUUGAGAGGAUGAUCAGCCACACUGGGACUGAGACACGGCCCAGACUCCUACGGGAGGCAGCAGUGGGGAAUCUUAGACAAUGGGGGAAACCCUGAUCUAGCCAUGCCGCGUGAGCGAUGAAGGCCUUAGGGUUGUAAAGCUCUUUCACCGGGGAAGAUAAUGACGGUACCCGGAGAAGAAGCCCCGGCUAACUCCGUG